UGGGGAAUCUUCCGCAAUGGGCGCAAGCCUGACGGAGCAACGCCGCGUGAGUGAAGAAGGUCUUCGGAUCGUAAAGCUCUGUUGAUGGGGACGAACGUGCCUAAUGCGAAUAGUAUUAGGUAAUGACGGUACCCAUUGAGGAAGCCACGGCUAACUACGUGCCAGCAGCCGCGGUAAUACGUAGGUGGCGAGCGUUGUCCGGAAUCAUUGGGCGUAAAGGGAGCGCAGGCGGGCAUGUAAGUCUUUCUUAAAAGUGCGGGGCUCAACCCCGUGAUGGGAAAGAAACUAUGUGUCUUGAGUACAGGAGAGGAAAGCGGAAUUCCCAGUGUAGCGGUGAAAUGCGUAGAUAUUGGGAGGAACACCAGUGGCGAAGGCGGCUUUCUGGACUGCAACUGACGCUGAGGCUCGAAAGCCAGGGGAGCGAACGGG
rnacentral:rRNA from 1 species